AAGAUUGACUUUUAAAAUAGGAUUAGGAUUUAUGGGGUUGAGUUGACUUUGGUCAGAGUUGACCAAAAAGUCAACGGUUGACCAAAGUCAACAAUUGGUCAACACACUCAUUCUUUGUAUUUUUUUUCUGUAAUGAUCAUGUAAUGAAUGAAAUUUCUCACUUGAAUGGACUUGGAUUUGUAUUUGACCUGAAUGGCUUUUGAAAUGAAUUAACUUGACGUUUUCAUAUAAA
rnacentral:lncRNA from 1 species